rnacentral:rRNA from 1 species
UACGUAUGGUGCAAGCGUUAUCCGGAUUUACUGGGUGUAAAGGGAGCGUAGACGGAUGGGCAAGUCUGAUGUGAAAACCCGGGGCUCAACCCCGGGACUGCAUUGGAAACUGUUCAUCUAGAGUGCUGGAGAGGUAAGUGGAAUUCCUAGUGUAGCGGUGAAAUGCGUAGAUAUUAGGAGGAACACCAGUGGCGAAGGCGGCUUACUGGACAGUAACUGACGUUGAGGCUCGAAAGCGUGGGGAGCAAACAGGAUUAGAUACCCUGGUAGUCCACGCCGUAAACGAUGACUACUAGGUGUCGGGUGGCAAAGCCAUUCGGUGCCGCAGCAAACGCAAUAAGUAGUCCACCUGGGGAGUACGUUCGCAAGAAUGAA